AUUGAACGCUGGCGGCAGGCCUAACACAUGCAAGUCGAGCGGAGCGGCGGACGGGUGAGUAAUGCCUAGGAAUCUGCCUGGUAGUGGGGGAUAACGUCCGGCAACGGGCGCUAAUACCGCAUACUAUCAGAUGAGCCUAGGUCGGAUUGGCUAGUUGGUGGUGUAAAGGCCUACCAAGGCGACGAUCCGUACCUGGUUUGAGAGGAUGAUCAGUCACAUGGGAACUGAGACACGGUCCAGACUCCUACGGGAGGCAGCAGUGGGGAAUAUGGGACAAUGGGCGAAAGCCUGAGGCAGCCAUGCCGCGUGUGUGAAGAAGGUCUUCGGAUGGUAAAGCACUUUAAGUAGGAAGGCGGUACCAACAGAAUAAGCACCGGCUAACUACGUGCCAGCAGCCGCGGUAAUAC
rnacentral:rRNA from 1 species